GAAGAGGGGAGUGGUGGUGAAGAGGUGGAGAAGUGAAAUGGCAUAGCUGCUGCUACGGUAGAUUGGAGAGGAUUUCGAGGGAGGGAGAUGAGAGGAGGAGGAGGAGGAGGAAGAAGAAGAUUUGGAUAGAGUUGUUCAUGGGGGGAAGGAUUUGAUUCGUUUGAGAAAGGAAAGGAGGGAUCUUUGUGGAGGGGAAGUGAGUUAGAUGUCUGCCUUGGUUGCCUUCCACACAGACCCGCAAAACGGCAGAGUUGGGGUUUUCGAAACUAUAUGGGUACACACGGUUCGGCCAGUCUGAUCGUGGACCACUCGUCACAAAGGUGCAGUACAAUUUCGUUACAUGUAUGGUUCGA
rnacentral:lncRNA from 1 species